rnacentral:rRNA from 1 species
UGGGGAAUAUUGCACAAUGGGCGCAAGCCUGAUGCAGCCAUGCCGCGUGUGUGAAGAAGGCCUUCGGGUUGUAAAGCACUUUCAGCGAGGAGGAAGGUGGUGGACUUAAUACGUUCAUCAAUUGACGUUACUCGCAGAAGAAGCACCGGCUAACUCCGUGCCAGCAGCCGCGGUAAUACGGAGGGUGCAGCGUGUAAUCGGAAUUACUGGGCGUAAAGCGCACGCAGGCGGUUUGUUAAGUCAGAUGUGAAAUCCCCGGGCUCAACCUGGGAACUGCAUUUGAAACUGGCAAGCUAGAGUCUCGUAGAGGGGGUAGAAUUCCAGGUGUAGCGGUGAAAUGCGUAGAGAUCUGGAGGAAUACCGGUGGCGAAGGCGGCCCCCUGGACGAAGACUGACGCUCAGGUGCGAAAGCGUGGGGAGCAAACAGGAUUAGAUACCCUGGUAGUCCACGCUGUAAACGAUGUCGAUUUUGGAGGUUGUGCCCUUGAGGCGUGGCUUCCGGAGCUAACGCGUUAAAUCGACCGCCUGGGGAGUACGGCCGCAAGGUUAAAAC